UGAAGGUUCUGGAGCUGGAGCUGCUGGCUUGGGGACAGUCCCAUCAUCGGUGACAGGCGAGCCUAUAGAGACUUCACCCGUGAUUCACCUGGUGACAGAUGCCAAGGGCACCGUCAUCCACGAAGUCCACGUCCAGAUGCAGGAGCUGCCCCUGGGCAUGAAAGCCCUGGCCCCAGAGGUGGGGGCGACGGGGGGCCCCAGAGGGCUGCUCUGUCUUCUGCCUGCUCGGUGCCAGUCUUUGUUCUGGGCACUGGCUCCAGGGGUCUGGGCCAGGCAGGCGAGGGCUGGGCUUCCCACAGGGAGAGCAGGGCCAGUGGGAGCGCCAUGGGGGUCUGAGGGUUUGCACAAGGCUCCUGGCAUGCGUCUGCCCCAUGGGGUGGGUGCUGGAUGCCAGGCUGCCUGGCCAGCCUCCUCUCUCUGCCUCCCCUGCAGCCCCCCGUCUCCCAGGAGCUCCCCUGCUCCAGCGAGGGCAGCCGUGAGAACCUGCUGCACCAGGCCAUGCAGAACUCCGGCAUCGUCCUUGAGCGCGCUGCUGGGGAGGAGGGUGCCCUGGAGCCAGCUCCUGCUGCCGGAUCCAGUCCCCAGCCCCUGGCAGAGGCAGCCCCGCAGCUGCCGGUACUGGAAGAAGUGCAGCCGCUGGAGACACAGGUGGCCAGCGAGGCCUCAGCGGUGCCCAGGACCCACCCAUGUCCUCAGUGCAGUGAGACCUUCCCGACAGCAGCCACCCUGGAGGCCCACAAGAGGGGCCACACCGGGCCAAGGCCGUUCGCCUGCGCACAGUGUGGCAAGGCCUUCC
rnacentral:sRNA from 1 species